CCACAGGCCGGGAACAGGAGAAAGCCGAGCUCCAAGCGCCAAAAAGUGGGGGAGGUGAGCUGAUGGCCCUCUUGCAGGAUACAGCAGCCCCUGAGAAGCGAGAGAUUCCCCUACAUGAUUCAAGCAGGGCUAACUCGGAACUAUGGGCCCAAGGACAGGUGGAGUGAGCAGCCGGUGCCACGCCAGGAAAGGACCUUGAAACCUCCCUCCAUAAGUUAUUCAGAUCAAAAUUCUCCCUGGAACCUCCUGAGUUGGCUGAGAACAGAGCAGCAAAGUCCACAGCAUUCUCCAAAGUUAGAGGCAAGAUUUUCAUCUUGAACUUCCUGGGCACACCCCUGGGCUCCUAAGCAGGCUUCAUCUGACGUUAAUUAUGGAUUUCAGGCCAUCCCCUUCUGUCUUUUUGAAUCUGGUCUGCCUACCAGUAUUUCAUGUUCUGGAGAAUAUCUUGGGUAUUUUCCAGGUGAAACUUCAGUGUUUCCUCAUGGCUUUGCUGCCUCGGUUGGUCCAACAGCUUACAGAGGUGGGCCUCCUGGGCCCACGUGACUUCACAUAUGUUAAGUCACUGUGAACCUGUGAGUGAAAACAUCUCACACUAGUUCUGUUCAAUGGGUUCUUACCCGCAAUGUGAGAUUUCUGCUUAUUGGAGGAGAUAAGAGGCACUUAAAAGACUGCCCACAGACGUUCAUUUUUUCAUUUCUAUAUGUAUGAAUUCUAGGCUAAUCAGUCAGUCAUAGUUCCUGGUUAAAAACCUUCCUCAUGUAAGUUACAUAUGCACGGUGUCUUACUCUCUUGCAUGCAUUGAGAUUUCUUCUUCUUUUGUUUUUUUUUUUUUUGAGGAAGAUUAGCCCUGAGCUAACAUCUGCUGCCAAUCCUCUUUUUGCUAAGGAAGACUGGCCUUGAGCUAACAUCUGUGUCCAUCUUCCUCUACUUUAUAUGUGGGACGUCUGCCAUAGAAUGGCCUGCCAAGUGGUCCCAUGUCUGCACUGGGGAUCCAAACUCGUGAAGCCUGGGCCACUGAAGUGGAACGUGUG
rnacentral:lncRNA from 1 species